UUUCCGUAGGUGAACCUGCGGAAGGAUCACUAGUGAUUAAAUCGAGAGCGUCUUCAUUGACCUCUCACCCUUCACAUCCACAUACACCUGUGCACCGUUUGGCUCUUAUAAAAGACGCAAGUCUGCAAUGAGAGUCAUCAAUUUUAUACAUACCCCAGUCUUAUGAAUGUAACAGUUUUAAUAAACAUAAUAAAACUUUUAACAACGGAUCUCUUGGUUCUC
rnacentral:misc_RNA from 1 species